ACUCCUACGGGAGGCAGCAGUGGGAAUAUUGGACAAUGGGGGACCGUAGCAUCCAGCCAUGCCGCGCUGUGUGAAGAAGGCCUUAUGGUUGUAAAGCACUUUAAGCGAGGAGGAGGCUACUGAGACUAAUACUCUUGGAUAGUGGACGUUACUCGCAGAAUAAGCACCGGCUAACUCUGUGCCAGCAGCCGCGGUAAUACAGAGGGUGCGAGCGUUAAUCGGAUUUACUGGGCG
rnacentral:rRNA from 1 species